UCCUCCCUCAAACCCCCGGGUUUGGUGUUGGACCGCGUUGGGGAACCGUUUGCGGCCCCCCAACUGGUCUCAAAGACAAUGACGGCGUCCGUGGGACCCUCUUCGCACUGAGCUUUCCGGAGCACGCGUCGAGUUGCAAGGUCUCGGGGAUCCGGCCUCCUCAAAAACUAUUUUUUCA
rnacentral:misc_RNA from 1 species